rnacentral:rRNA from 1 species
GAUGAACGCUGGCGGCGUGCCUAAUACAUGCAAGUCGAACGCGCAGCGAGAGGUGCUUGCACCUUUCAAGCGAGUGGCGAACGGGUGAGUAACACGUGGAUAACCUGCCUCAAGGUUGGGGAUAACAUUUGGAAGCAGAUGCUAAUACCGAAUAAAACUUAGUAUCGCAUGAUAUCAAGUUAAAAGGCGCUACGGCGUCACCUAGAGAUGGAUCCGCGGUGCAUUAGUUAGUUGGUGGGGUAAAGGCUUACCAAGACGAUGAUGCAUAGCCGAGUUGAGAGACUGAUCGGCCACAUUGGGACUGAGACACGGCCCAAACUCCUACGGGAGGCUGCAGUAGGGAAUCUUCCACAAUGGGCGCAAGCCUGAUGGAGCAACGCCGCGUGUGUGAUGAAGGCUUUCGGGUCGUAAAGCACUGUUGUAUGGGAAGAAAUGCUAAAAUAGGGAAUGAUUUUAGUUUGACGGUACCAUACCAGAAAGGGACGGCUAAAUACGUGCCAGCAGCCGCGGUAAUACGUAUGUCCCGAGCGUUAUCCGGAUUUAUUGGGCGUAAAGCGAGCGCAGACGGUUGAUUAAGUCUGAUGUGAAAGCCCGGAGCUCAACUCCGGAAUGGCAUUGGAAACUGGUUAACUUUGAGUGUUGUAGAGGUAAGUGGAACUCCAUGUGUAGCGGUGGAAUGCGUAGAUAUAUGGAAAGAACACCAGUGGCGAAGGCGGCUUUACUGGACAACAACUGACGUUGAGGCUCGAAAGUGUGGGGUAGCAAACAGG